AAAGAAUAAGAGGGGGGCCUCGGGAAAAGCUGAGGGAGGAGAAAACCAGCUGCCCUUGGCAGCAACUUUCAGAAGGAAAUAAGCCUCGAGUAGCUAGGGGAGCCUCGGAACCAGUAGAAUAAAAACUUGGCAGCUUACGGGGAGUCCACACGCAGAGAUUGGCGGGGAAAGAGGAGAGCUAAGCUGUCCUUGCAGCUUUGAACCAACACGUGCAGGGAUAGACAGAAAUCAGAGGGCUGCCUUGCGGAAACUGACAGAAAAGGAUAGAGCAAGGCAGCAAGAAAAAUUAGAGGCUUCACUCCAUUUCUCUCGGUUAAAUCUUUCCAAACUUAUAUUUUAUUUCUGUUUUAAUAAUGUGUAACUAAUUUUAUUUUGGCUAGAGGUUAAUUCAAAGCCAUGAAUAUAUUUGUAAUAUGAAUUGAUUACCUUCAGUUGUGAUUUAUAAGUUGUGAUUUAAUUUGCUUAACUGCUUGAUUGAUAACUUAUUUUUGUAUGUCGAUUAAGAAUGCAUGCUUAAUUUACAUGCAUGAAUUUGAUGCUAGAAUAUAAGUGAAUUUCACCUAAUCGUUAUGAACUUAUAUUCAUAAGUAGUGAAGGUUGCUAGUCACAAUCACGUUAAGUAAAUUCUAGGCUGGAUUAACAUGCGUAUUCCAUAGUUAUGAAUGCCUAGUCAAUGUUUAUGAUUUCCGUUGAACUUAAUGAUCUUUGUUGAAUGUCUCUAUCAUGCGUAUUCCAUAGUUAGGGACUUUGAUGAGGAAUAAUUUGGUUGUAAUGCGUAUUCCAUUCAAUCCAAUGAAUCUAGGGAAAUCUAAGAGUUAAUUUAAGCGGACCUAAUUAACUUGGAACAUUGUCAUUCACAAUUUAUUGAAAGAACAACUGAAAAUCAAUUUAGGUUGCAUAUGUGUCAUGUGUGGAGAAGAACCCUCUAGCUAGUCCGUCACCUAUCCUUUCACCUUAAUUUCAUACUUUUGUCAAUUCUGUAAUUUAUUUAAGUUUAAUUUACUUCUCGUCAAAACCAAAUCCCCCCCCCCCCAUUAUUAAAUUAUAUUAUUUAGUAAGUUUCAUUGUUGAUAGUCUUUUAAUUCAAUUUCCGUCCAUUUCAGUUCCUAGUGUCUAAUUUGAUUGUUUUCAUUAUUUUGAGUCAUUCUAAGUGUGUUUCGAGUUAUUAGAGUUUUUAGCCUAGUUUUGUGUCCUUGAGUCUUGUUUAAUAUUUUUAAAUUAAUUUAGAAUAGAUUAGCAAUCCCUCCUAAUCCCCGGCCUAGAACGAUACCCUACUUACAUCUAUAAUACAUUUAAUAAGUUACUCACCUCUUUGAAUCAGGGAGUAGAAAAUCAAAACCAGGAGAUGCAAGAUCGAGUCAAAAGAGUGGACGAAUUGGAUAUGCAAGUUGGGCAGAUUGUGGAAUUCAUGGCACAUAUUCGAGAUCAAAGUGAACUUUCCAACUCAAACAUUGCAAAUUCAAAGGCAGAAAGUGAAAUCGAUGAAGCCAUCACUUUGGAAGGUGACAUGAAGGAUGAAGCUGUCCCAGAACCAUCCAAACACAGCCCGAACAUGGAUGAAAUGCUGCUGCAAGCAGAAGAGGAGGAGGACGACCUGGGCAGUUUAGAAGAAUUCUUGCUGCAAGCUCCUCAAAUCCCUAUGUCAUCCAACUCAGGUGAGGAAGUUCUAAAUUCACUUCAUUCUAACAUUAUUCCACCGAAUGUCCUUUGUCCUUGCAGGUUUUUUAUUCCAAAUAUCAAAGAGAGUGAAAAAGACAUUGUGGAAGCUCUUCCAAAGGUGCAAAGUGAUAUCCCAAUUCUUGGUGCACCAAAACAAGUUCCCGAUGGUAUUGAAACGUUCAAAGAACCUUGCACACCAAGAAAAGGGAUUCAAGAAAAUGAAGUGGUUGAAGCAUAUCAAGAAUACAUCCAAGAGGUUGUGCAUGAGAUAAUCAAGCCCAAAGCAGUUGAGUUUGAUAACACGGGACAAGCCACAACCAUCAUAGUAAACCUGGCCAAGUUCAAAGUCCCGGAAAUGUUCAAAGAUGUGGUGUUUGUCAUUGAGUUUGUGUCAGAAAAAGAAAGUAAGCCAUCUUCUCCAAUUCUAAUUUUAAUUUAUACUAACAUGUUUCUGAUUUUGAUGAUUCAGGCACCCACUCUUGAAUUUAAACCAUUGCCGAAUCAUUUCAAGUAUCACCUCCCAUUAAAAGAUAAAUUCCAUGCUUUGGAGCCGAGGGGAGUUUAAAGGAAAGAUUCGUCCGGCUAAAGACGUUAAAUCAAGCGCUUCUUGGGAGGCAACCCAAGCAUUCAAUGAAGAGAGACUUUGGAAUCGCUAACCAAAUCAGAUUUGCAUUCUUACACCCUUAUCUUUACUGCUUUCAUUUUAUUUUGUUUAGUUAGUUGUGUUAUUUGGUUGAUUUUUGUGAGUUUGUGUUAUUUAGUUUAAGUGUGGGGGAAGGUUAAACAAAGUCUUUUUACAUUGAUUUACAUAUUUUACAUUGAUUUAAAAAAAACAAAACAAAACAAAACACACCUAAAAAAAAUAAAAAAAAUAAAAAAAAUAAAAAAAAAACAUAAAAGUAAAAAUAUUUUACAAUGAUGUGUAAACUAAUAGCAUUCAUUGGUCAGGUGGUGCUUCAGUAGUCGGCGGAGCUUCAGCAGUCGGCGGGGCCACGGAAGGAGGAGGUAUCGGAGGUUGAUUAGUUGGAGCUUCACUACGCGGUGCCGCCCCAGAAGACGAAGGCAGAUGCGGUUGGAACAAACCCACAAACCUCCGGUGAUCAAGUAAAAUCUGACCAUCAUUUUCCUGCAGCUGGUCAAUUUUCCUCUUCAUGUUUGUGGCAUAAUUGUGUGCAAGCUUGUGCAAUUGUUUAUUUUCAUGCUUGAGUCCUCUAAUCUCCUCUUUGAGACUCUGUAUUUCAGCCACCAACGAUUCAACGUGACGGGUUCGAGCAAAUAGGCGUUGGGCCAUGUUGGACACAGAACCCGCACACUGCACGCUAAGAGCCAGAGAUUCCUUAACCGCCAAUUCAUCAGACCGUCUAGCGAGCAGUCUGUUAUCUCUGGGGGUAACAAGGUUCCGGGCCACCACCGCAGCUGUCAUAUCAUUUUUCAUCACCGAAUCCCCCACGGUAAGGGGACCGGUAGAGGAUAUGAAAUAUGGGCGCCAUAUGUUGUCUGGUGAAGGCGGAGCUGCCUCUUCACCAAUGUUCAAGUCAAAACGACGAUCGGAAGGGCCAGACAUUUUUCAGAAUGGUAAAGAAAAAAUAGAUCGGACAGAUUAAGAUUUUGGAAGUGCAAGAAUGGAGUGUUUACAGGAGGGAGCUCAAGUGUGUUGUGGAACAAAAUUAACGCCUCUAUAAAAAGAAGAAAUCAAAGAGGCGCUCCUCAGAGAGGCGUCCUCUCGCAAAUCGAAGAGUCGGGGCUCCUUUCUCAAACGCCUAAUUCUUUUCUCAAAAGAGGAGUUUCCUUCCUCAAAAGCCGGAUUCUUUUCUCAAAAGAGGCGUUUCAUUUCUUAAAAGUUGGGCUUGCUCAGAAACCACGAGCCGAACCCUGGAUUUCAAAAGAUCAAUUUGUCCAGACGUGUGGUCACUCGUCACAUGCAACUAGCAGCUUUGCGGAAAUUAUGGGCAGCUUUGUCAGAAAGCGCGUAAUUUGUACUAUUCAUCCAUCCACCGGCUGCCGACAAUGAGUAAGGGAAUAGUUCCGGUUGUGAAGAAAAGUCCUAUAAGUAUCUACCUUCGCCUUCCCACAGCAAAGGCACACCCUCUCAACACUUCUUCAUCUCCGAGAAUGUAUUCCCAAAGAAACCUUUCUAGUCACUCUGUAUUUUUCAUCCCCUGGGAUACCCCUGCAAACAACCCAUCCAGAGCACAAGUAUUUCAUAUCAUCAAGGUUGAGAGCACGAGUAUCUCAUAUCAUGCUUUCUCCAUGUCCUUUCUCCAGUCAGCCCUUGCUCUCGAGUACUCAUCAUCUUAUGCUUUUGCUUUGUUUCUCACUUAUAAGGGAAGUGAAGAUGAUACCUCGAAGCAUGUGGAGAGAACGUGUUGAUUCAUCCUCAACUAAGGACAAGGAGAAAGAGAGCAAGAGGUGGGCAUUUGGAAAGAUUGAAGAAAGAAACAGACCAACACCUCUCCCUCGUGCCUGCCCGUCGUGCAGAAGAAACAAGCAGAGAAGAAUGCAGCUUGCACAAUCAUCCCAGCAGAAGGAGUCUGAGAUGAAGAACUAGAGAAGCUGCCACAUCUGCUUGGAGAACAAAUAAGGAACUGCAACAUCACCAAAGAGCAAAGCCUCGCCGUACAAUAUCAUCAAAUCAUCACUUGCAAGUAAAAAGCUAAGUGUCACCCCGUUCAAGAGGAAAGCUGUGGAAAGUCAACAAGCACGACCAAUGAUCACUUAUUAGUUCUAUUCAUUGUCUUUUAUCGUGAUUUUCAAUUUUUCGUUUGCAAUUUUUUUUACAUUUUCUUGCGUUACUUAACUGAAUUAUUUCUUUUCUUUGCAGGAAUUUUUGGUUAUUUCCACCCUUGAAGUUGAUUGCAGAAUUUUAGCUUGGGGGGGUCAUCGCUUGAUUUUACUGCAAACUAAGGAAGUUUUCAGUCCAAUUGCUUUAUUUUGUUUCUUAUUAUUUAUUUAUUUUAUUUUUAUUUGCAUUAUAGUGUUUUCUAACAUUGGGGACAAUGUCCAGUUUAAGUUUGGGGGUAAAGAGUAUAAAAAUGACCAAAUUGAAAUUUUUUUUUUUUUGUACCUUCAACUACGAACGAGUUUCAUUUGUUUCCAUGUUGUUGCUUUUUGUUUUCUUAAUUAAUUUUGUUUUCUUUUAAAAAAAAAUUUUAAAAAUCGGAAAAUUUAAAAAUCCAAAAAUAUUGUCUUGUUUCCUUUAUUGUUAUGAAUUAGAUUUUUGUUAGUUUCCCGACCCAAUGAUAUAAUUGGAUCAAAUUUGAACCAUGAUUAUCAAGAACUUAGUUAACAUGUGUUUUGUGAAAUUCCUAAUUCUCUUGUUAGUUUUGUACAUGUUUGACCAUCUUUGAAAAACCAAAUGCACAUAGCCUUGUUAAUGUGAAACUAAAGUAUGACUUAAAGCUUCAUAUGUGAAUUUAGUGACCAUAUACAUCCUAUGUGAGUUUUUGAGCCGAUUGAAAGUGUGUGCAUUUUUCAUACUCCUAUUCUUUCAUGUGUGAUGAACUUAUGUGAGAUACAUCUCUAGAACUUGCGUAACGAUCUUUCGAAAUGUUUGUCAUUGAUUGCAUGAACUUGGAAAUGAUAGAGGCAUCAGGUUUACCACUAUGGCCCAAAUAACCAUGUUUCCCAAAUAUAUCAUUAGAUUGCCAAUUUGAGCCGUGUAUGUUGAGCCUUUUAUUUCUUAUCACCAGAUAUGUCUACCCUUAUACCUGAAACAUUUGUUUUUUUUUUUUCCUUACCCUUUCCAAGCAAGCUAGUGAGCAAUGUGAGAUUGUCUUAUGAGAAAUGUUUGUGAAGUACUUUGAAGGUGUAGUUAUGUGUUUAUCAAAAAAAAAAAAAAAAAAAAAAAAAAAAAAAAAAAAAAAAGGAGAAAAGAAAAAGAAAAAGAAAGAUUGUAUACAAAGAAAAUAAAAAGUUUUUAAAGUUUCAGUUUAAGGGUGUGGUUGGAGGUGCUAGAAGAAUUGCUAGAGAGCUUGAGUUCUUAUAAAUCUAAAGAAAAGAAUUGCUUGCAAUGUAGCUUGGAACUUGUGUUUUCCUAUUCUUUCGUUUCAAUAACCCUAUCCCUAACCCUCAUUACAUCCAAUAAAAGUCCUCUUGAUUUAAGUUUUGCAAUUACGACUGCGGAGAAGUGAUCUUUAUGCAAGCUUAUGGUAGAACUUUCACAUUUGAUUCUUUGAGCGAAACACAUUUAAACUAAACACAUGUGUGAUUGAGUGUAUAUCUCGUGAGAAGGUUGCUAGUUUGCAUAUGAUGAUUUUAAAAAUAUAAAAAAAAUUUGCAUUAGCAUGGCUAUCUCACACACUACACUUCAAGGAUGAUUCAAAGAUUACUGCUAAUAUUUGAAUAAGGAAGAUGAACUUGGAUUAGCUUGUUUGGUGCCAGCUAUGGUUCUUGUUGAUUUGUGUUCUCAAAUGAAAUUCUAUGAGGGUCACAUAGGGGGAAGCUAACGUUUUUCUUGUUACUACUUGUUCUUUUUUUCUUUGUUUUGCUCGAGGACUAGCAAAAGUUAAGUGUGGGGGUAUUUGAUCGGAUCAUAUUUAUAUAUAUUUUUACUUCGAAUUCAUUCGUCUUUUCUUAGUUAGUUCCUUAUAUUUUUGAGCUAUUUACUUUGUUUUUGCGUAUUAUAGGAUUUGUCUAGCAAAGAAAAUAAAAAUAGAACAAGUGAAAUUUUAUGUAAUAAAUUCGUCAAAACUGUCUGUGUAGAUCAGCUUUUAAAUAAAAUUAAAAAAAAAUAAUAAUGAUAAGUCAUGAUGAUGUUUGAAACAUCAUCGUGAUUCAUGUUUUGUAGGAGAGUGUUGGACGGCAAAAACAAAAGAAAAGGAAUAAAGAAUGGAAUGAUGGAGGAAUAAAAGAAACAUAAAGAAAGGAAUGGUGGAAAGAAAAACAGAAAUUGAAUAAGGAAAGGGGAGAAGUGAAAGGCAGCGAGGCUGCCAAAAAGAAAACAGAAAAAUAAAGAGAGAGGGAGAUAGCAUAGAAGCGGGGAGAGGGGAGAGACCAAGGGAAACGAAAUAAUAAAAAAAUAAAAGAAGAAACAGAAGGAUGACAGGAGGGGAGAGAGAGAUAGGGACGGAAAGAAGCAGCCAAGCUGCCUUGAAAGGCAGCGCCAUUUGAAAAGCUAGUGGGAGAGACUGACAGCGAGGUCAGGCGAGCAGAAAGCUGCCUUAGGCAGCGAGAAAAAUAGGGAAGCAGAGAGCUGCCUUGGCAGGUCAGAGCCUUGCAGCGCAGGUCAGAAGGCACGGGCACAGUGAGAAGAAAAUUAGAGGCUUCACUUCAUUUCUCUCGGUUAAAUCUUUCCAACUUAUGUUUUACUUUUGGUUUAAUUUGAUAAUAAUGUGUAAAUAAUUUUAUUUUGGCUAGAGGUUAAUUCAAAGCCAUGAAUAUAUUUGUAAUAUGAAUUGAUUACCUUCAAUUGUGAUUUCUGAGUUGUGAUUUAAUUUGCUUAACUGCUUGAUUGAUAGCUUAUUUUUGUAUGUCGAUUAAGAAUGCAUACUUAAUUUACAUGCAUGAAUUUGACGCUAGAUAUAAGGGAGUUUCAC
rnacentral:lncRNA from 1 species